rnacentral:rRNA from 1 species
AUUGAACGCUGGCGGCAUGCUUUACACAUGCAAGUCGAACGGUAACAGGCCGCAAGGUGCUGACGAGUGGCGAACGGGUGAGUAAUGCAUCAGAACGUGCCCAGUCGUGGGGGAUAACGCAGCGAAAGCUGCGUUAAUACCGCAUACGAUCUAUGGAUGAAAGCGGGGGACCGUAAGGCCUCGCGCGAUUGGAGCGGCCGAUGUCAGAUUAGGUAGUUGGUGGGGUAAAGGCUCACCAAGCCGACGAUCUGUAGCUGGUCUGAGAGGACGACCAGCCACACUGGGACUGAGACACGGCCCAGACUCCUACGGGAGGCAGCAGUGGGGAAUUUUGGACAAUGGGCGCAAGCCUGAUCCAGCAAUGCCGCGUGCAGGAAGAAGGCCUUCGGGUUGUAAACUGCUUUUGUACGGAACGAAACGGUCCUGGUUAAUACCCGGGGCUAAUGACGGUACCGUAAGAAUAAGCACCGGCUAACUACGUGCCAGCAGCCGCAGUAAGAC